GACGACGCUGGCGGCGUGGAUUAGGCAUGCAAGUCGAACGGUAGGAUACCUUCGGGUAUCUGAGAGUGGCGAACGGGUGAGUAACACGUAGGUGAUCUACCCUCAAGAUUGGGACAACCCAGGGAAACUUGGGCUAAUACCGGAUGAAAGCAGCAGUGAUGUUGUUUGAAAGGUGGCGUAAGCUGCCGUUUGGGGAUGAGCCUGCGCUCUAUUAGUUAGUUGGCGGGGUAAAGGCCCACCAAGGCGAUGAUAGAUAGGCGGCCUUAACGGGUGGUCGCCCACACUGGGAUUGAGAUACGGCCCAGACUCCUACGGGAGGCAGCAGUGGGGAAUUUUGGACAAUGGGCGCAAGCCUGAUAGUGCGACGCCGCGUGAACGAAGAAGCCCUUCGGGGUGUAAAGUUCUUUUAUAUGUGAGCAGUGCUUUCUAUGUGAACAGCAUGGGGAGAGAGAUAUUAGCAUAUGAAUAAGCAACGGCUAACUCCGUG
rnacentral:rRNA from 1 species